rnacentral:tRNA from 1 species
UACAUACUAGCCUAGUAGUUGAAGGCGCUUGAUUCUGGCUCAAGUAACUCGAAAGAGUUCGUAGGUGCAAAUCCUAUGUAUGAAC